rnacentral:rRNA from 1 species
GAAGUAAAAAGUCGUAACAAGGUUUCCGUAGGUGAACCUGCG